rnacentral:lncRNA from 1 species
UGCAUGUCUUCUUUGUAAAAUUGGAGUCGGUCUUGUCUUAAACUAUGGGAAACAAUGAUCUCGUAUUUCUAUACUUGAUAGUAUAUGGUUAAUGGAUAAUAAUGUUACUGCAUGAGCUGAAGUGAUGAGGAUUUUUAUAUAUAUAAACAAAUAUGUAGUAUGUGGAAGCUCAAAAUUGCAGAAGGGCAUGGUCCAUGGUUGUACAGCCUCAACAACUAUGUUGGCAGGCAGAUCUAGGAGUUCGACCUUUAGGGAAUUAAACCGAAUUCCCAACCCAUGAGAAACAAAAAUUAGAGAAAACACACGCCAAAAAAAAACAAUCACAUGCACAAGACAGUAUUUACGUGGUUCAGCAAUUUGCCUACAUCCACGGAGUUGCAGAGAUAUCACUAUUAUCAGGGAAGAAUACAAAGUACAACUUAGCAGCUACAAUAUUCUCUCUAUAUAUAUAACACGGCAACCCCACCAUAUAAAAAACCCUAAUUACAAAAGGUGGUUCCAUAAUGGACUAAACGGGCCUAACAGGCCUCAAUAAAUCUCCCAUUAAAAAACCAUGCAAUAUUAUUCGGGUCGGGUCGUCAAACUGGAUCAAACAAAACUAGGCUCCACAAAGCCCAACAAAUCUCCCACUUGGAGACUAGUCCAAUCACCAACAUCAAACCGCUAUCCUCCAAGAAACAAUCCCUCAUCCCUACAACUCAUCCUCCUGUCCUCAAGCUAGAAGACCAAUUGAAGCUGCGCACAACUUCAACUUCUCAAUAGUGGCACCCUUAGUCAACAUGUUUGCAAGGUUCUUAGAUCCACAAAUCUUCUCAAGUAUUACCAGUUUAUCCUCAACAAGAUAACGGAUAAAGUGGUAUUUUGUUUGUAUAUGUUUCGACUUUGAAUGAAAAGCUGAAUUUUUGGCAAGAAAAAUUGCACUCUAAUUGUCGUAGAAUGCCCAUCUCCUACUUCUUACCCAAUUCAUCUAAGAAACCAUGUAGCCAAAUCAUCUCAUUUCCAACUUCAGUUGCUACAACAUACUCAGCUUCUAUAGUAGACAAAGUAACAAUCUUCUAUAAAUUUGAAGUCCAUGAUAUAGCUGUACCACCUAAAGUAAAAACAAACCCAGUAGUACUCUUUCUACUAUCAAUAUCACCAGCAAAAUCAGCAUCUACAUAACCCUGCAGUUUCAAACUUGCACCUGUGAAGCAAAGACAUGUAUCUAAUGAACCCUUCAGAUAUCUUAAAAUCCACUUGACUACCUCCCAAUGUUGCUUUCUAGGCCUACUCAUGAAUCUGCUCACAACUCCCACUGCAUGUGCAAUGUUUGGCCUUGUACACACCAUAGCAUACAUCAAGCUGCCAAUAGUUGAGGCAUAAGGCACCUUGCUCAUAUGGUCCCUUUCUUCUUCUGUCUUCGGUGACUGUUCUUUGCUUAGUUUGAAAUGACUACCCAAGGGUGUGCUCACUAGUUUAGCUUCAUUCAUGUUGAACCUGUUGAGAACUUUCUUCACAUACUCUGAUUGUGAAAGCUUCAAUGUACCAUUAGCCUUGUCUCUAAUGAUUCUCAUACCAAGGAUUUACUUUGCAGCUCCCAAAUCCUUCAUUGCAAACUGUUUGGACAAUUGUUUCUUCAAAUUAUUAAUCUUCUCAAUGUCAGACCCUACAAUAAGCAUAUCAUCCACAUACAACAAUAAUAUGAUGUAAGAAUUGUCAAAGGACUUAACAUAGCAACAAUGAUCAGCUUCAUAUUUCUUGAACCCAAUUCUAUGCAUAAAAUUGUCAAACUUCUUGUACCACUGUCUAGGAGCUUGUUUAAGGUCAUACAAGCUCUUUCUCAAUUUGCAAACUAGAUUCUCUUGUCCCUGAACAACGAACCCUUCUGGCUGAAUGAUGUAAAGGUCUUCCUCCAAGUCACCAUGAAGGAAUGCUGUCUUCACAUCUAACUGCUUAAGAUGUAAGUUUUCUGCAGCCACCAUUUCAAGUACAAGUUUAAUUGUUGACAUCUUCACAAUUGGAGAAAAUAUCUCUAUGUAGUCAAUGCCCUCCUUCUGUUGAAACCCUUUAACAACUAAUCUGGCCUUGUAACGUUUGCUACCAUCAUGCUCAUUCUUUAUUCUGUAUACCCACUUGUUGUGCAAAGCCUUCUUUCCUACUAGCAAUUCAGUUAGUUCCCAUGUCUGAUUCCCCAAUAGGGAAUCCAUCUCAUCCUUCAUGGCUAACUCCCACUUGCUUGAAUUCUCAUCUUGCAAGGCUUCAUCAUAACACUCUGGCUCACCACCAUCAGUCAACAGGAGAUAAUUUAAAACAGGUGAAUAACGCUGCGAAGGUCUAAUGUUCCUGGAAGAUCUGCGAACUUUAGCUACAGGUGUACUCAAAUCUACCUGUGAAUUUACAUUCUCUUUAUCUUCUUCACUCCCUUUUUGGACAGUACUUUCAGUCAAUUCAUCUAAGUUAACAAACUCAGAUUUCUUUUGAUCUAUCUCUGUAACAUCUGACACUACAGUUAACCUGUCCUUGUACAUAACCUAUUCAUUAAAUAUCACAUUUCUACUUCUGAUGAUUUUCCUGUUUUGUUCAUCCCAAAACCUAUAGCCAAAUUUCUCAUCACUAUAGCCAAUGAAAAAACAUAUUUUUGACUUUGCAUCAAGUUUACUACAAGCAACAGAAUCAAUAUGAACAUAAGAUACACAACCAAAAACUUUUAAAUGUGAAAACUUCACCUCUUUACCACUCCAAACCUUCUCAGGAAGUCUGAACUCCAUGGGAACUGAUGGUUCUCUGUUUAUCAGGUAAGCUGCAGUGCUAAUAGCAUCAGCCCAAAAAAUUUUGGUAGUCCAACAUGCAACCUCAUACUUCUAGCAUGCUCAUUGAGAGUUCUGUUCAUGCGCUCAGCCACACCAUUCUGCUGUGGUGUCCUAGGAAUGGUCUUCUCCAUUCUAAUUCCCUGUGCAGUACAACACUCACUAAACCCUCCAUCUAUGUACUCUCCUCCAUUAUCUGACCUCAAACAUUUUACUUUCAAACCUGUUUCUGUCUCAACUAUGGCCUUCCACUUCUUAAAAGUUUUUCCUCCCAUAGAGAUAAUCUUCAAUCUGCAUCCUCCAAUACGCAAAGUCUGUGCCAUCAAACUUUUCUAUUUCAGACGCAUUUCCUGCUUCCUCUGCCAUUGCUCCCACUCAAACCUAACCCUAGGCUCUGAUACCAGUUGUAGGGAAUUAAACCGAAUUCCCAACCCGUGAGAAACAAAAAUUAGAGAAAACACACGCCAAAGAAAAACAAUCACACGUACAAGACAGUAUUUACGUGGUUCGGCAAUUUGCCUACAUCCACGGAGUUGCAGGGAUAUCACUAUUAUUAGGGAAGAAUACAGAGUACAACUUAGUGACUACAAUAUUCUCUCUAUAUAUAUAACACGGCAACCCCACCAUAUAAAAAACCCUAAUUACAAAAGGUGGUUUCAUAAUGGGCUAAACGGGCCUAAUAGGCCUUAAUAAAUCUUCCAUUAAAAUGCCAUGCAAUAUUAUUCGGGUCGGGUCGUCAAACCGAAUCAAACAAAACUAGGCUCCACAAAGCCCAACACGACCCUGAAGCUGGGACCCCAGAAGAGCGAGAAGAGGUCAGGAAAGUCCAGGACAAUUUCACAAAGAAUUGGUUUCGCUACAAACCUAAUGGGGAUCUCCUAAUGAGGAUGCAGGUAUACACUCUUUUAUUCAUGAUGGUAUCUUUGGAUGAAAAAUUUUCCUCCACCAUCUUCCAGCAUGGUAUUUUGCUUCUGAGGUUGAUGAAGUGAUCACAAUAAAAUUUAAUAUUAAUUAAAG